GACGAACGCUGGCGGCACGCUUAACACAUGCAAGUCGAACGAGGUCCAUGGAGCUUGCUCCGGAAGACCUAGUGGCGAACGGGUGCGUAACACGUGAGAAACCUGUCCCGAACUUGGGAAUAACAGUUGGAAACGGCUGCUAAUACCGAAUGCCUUCACGACGCCUCCUGGCGAUGUGAAGAAAGCUCCGGCGGUUCGGGAGGGUCUCGCGGCCUAUCAGCUAGUUGGUGAGGUAACGGCUCACCAAGGCAUCGACGGGUAGCUGGUCUGAGAGGAUGAUCAGCCACACUGGAACUGAGACACGGUCCAG
rnacentral:rRNA from 1 species